ACCUGGGUAGCUCAGUCAGUUGAGCAUAAGACUCUUGAUCUCAGAGUCAUGAGUUCAAGCCCCACCUUAGGCA
rnacentral:tRNA from 1 species